GAGGGUGUAGCUCAAGUGGUAAAGCACAUGCUUAGGAUGCAUGAGGUCCUGGGUUCAAUCCCCAGUACCUCCU
rnacentral:tRNA from 1 species